rnacentral:sRNA from 1 species
CACAAACGGAAGCCUAGAAGAACCUUUAGUUUUUUUUCUACCAACAACUGUCUAAAGAAAAACAUUCUACAAACAACAAACCCUUUUAACUCAAGAGUUUCACAAUCAAGACACCUCUUUUUGGAUAAACUAUAUCACUGAAAAGCCUGAACGUAUAAAAAGUAAUUUUGGAAACUUUUUUGCUGCCCCGCCUCAAAAUAACUAUACUUAGUUAAAUUUUUCUACAAACUACGAAUUGCUGCUGACUAUUAUAUUUGUUUUCCUGGGAGAAUUUCAUACUAUCCAAAUCAUCAUAUACAAGGACUAGACAAAGCCGAGCAACUGAAAGGAACAUCGGAUAAAACGUAAUCAUUUUUAUACCUCAACACUUUUAAAUUGUAAAUUUUUGUACUUAAGUGUUAACAAUAAGAUUUACACAAGCCACUGAG